rnacentral:rRNA from 1 species
AUGAACGCUGGCGGCGUGCCUAAUACAUGCAAGUCGAGCGAACAGACGAGGAGCUUGCUCCUCUGACGUUAGCGGCGGACGGGGGAGUAACACGUGGAUAACCUACCUAUAAGACUGGGAUAACUUCGGGAAACCGGAGCUAAUACCGGAUAAUAUAUUGAACCGCAUGGUUCAAUAGUGAAAGACGGAUUUGCUGUCACUUAUAGCUGGAUCCGCGCCGCAUUAGCUAGUUGGUAAGGUAACGGCUUACCAAGGCGACGAUGCGUAGCCGACCUGAGAGGGUGAUCGGCCACACUGGAACUGAGACACGGUCCAGACUCCUACGGGAGGCAGCAGUAGGGAAUCUUCCGCAAUGGGCGAAAGCCUGACGGAGCAACGCCGCGUGAGUGAUGAAGGUCUUCGGAUCGUAAAACUCUGUUAUUAGGGAAGAACAAAUGUGUAAGUAACUAUGCACGUCUUGACGGUACCUAAUCAGAAAGCCACGGCUAACUACGUG